rnacentral:rRNA from 1 species
UACGUAGGGUGCAAGCGUUAAUCGGAAUGACUGGGCGUAAAGCGCACGUAGGCGGCUUUUUAAGUCAGGGGUGAAAUCCUGGAGCUCAACUCCAGAACUGCCUUUGAUACUGGGAAGCUUGAGUCCGGGAGAGGUGAGUGGAACUCCGAGUGUAGAGGUGAAAUUCGUAGAUAUUCGGAAGAACACCAGUGGCGAAGGCGGCUCACUGGCCCGGUACUGACGCUGAGGUGCGAAAGCGUGGGGAGCAAACAGG